AACGAACGCUGGCGGCAGGCUUAACACAUGCAAGUCGAACGCCCCGCGAGGGGUGUGGCCGACGGGUGAGUAACGCGUGGGAACAUACCCUUUCCUGCGGAAUAGCUCCGGGAAACUGGAAUUCAUACCGCAUACGCCCUACGGGGGACAGAUUUAUCGGGGAAGGGUUGGCCCGCGUUGGCUUAGCUGGUUGGUGGGGUAAAGGCCUACCAAGGCGACGGUCCAUAGAUGGUCUGAGAGGCUGAGCAGCCACAUUGGGACUGAGACACGGCCCAAACUCCUACGGGAGGCGGCAGUGGGGAAUAUUGGACAAUGGGCGGAAGCCUGAUCCAGCCAUGCCGCGUGAGUGAUGAAGGCUGUAGGGUUGUAAAGCACGUUAACCGAUGAAGAUAAUGACGGUAGUAGGAGAAGAAGCCCCGGCUAACUUCGUG
rnacentral:rRNA from 1 species